rnacentral:lncRNA from 1 species
GCAACCCUAGCGAAGGUUGUGGUAGAUUCGGGCGCGGGAGGCGGCCAUAAGCUGCCGUCAUUCUGCCGAGUGGUCCAAGAUGGAAAGUCAUAAACCAAGUACUAACAAAGAUGAUUUAAUAUUUAAUAUCAUACCCAGAAAAAUCAAACAACUUCCAGAAUCAGACAGGAAUCUGCUUGAAUAUGGAUCAGCAUAUAUUGGACUUAAUGCUGCUUUUGGGGGCCUAAUAGCAAACAGUCUAUUUCGGCGAAUUUUGAACGUGACACAAGCUCGAGUAGCAUCUAGCUUGCCAAUGGCUGUGAUCCCAUUUUUGACAGCAAACCUGUCCUACCAUAGUUUUGUAAGUUUACCUUUGAGUACAGGUAUGUUUAAUUUCAUUAUCAUCCAAGCCUGCAUUUAUGCAUACUAUAUACACUUAUAUAUACUUCACUCAAAACUGAAGGAUUAGAACCGAGUAGGUGUGAGCUUUAAUGAAGUGUUUAGGGAAGACCAAAUCUAUUCAACAACUGAUUCAGCUUAGGUCUGCCAACCAACCAGUGAGUACAUAUCCACAGCCGUCAGUCACACACUUCCCUGACCUGAAGCAGCAUUCCCAGUGCUGCCUUUGUUUCUUGUUAAUUUGCACAUUAUAUGCAAGUUUUCUCUUUUUAAAAAGAUGUUUUUAUUUAGGUAUGUGUUUUGUCUGACUGUACAUUUGCACACCAGGUAGUGGUACUGGACCCCAUAUACUAGUUACAGA